rnacentral:rRNA from 1 species
GACGAACGCUGGCGGCGUGCUUAACACAUGCAAGUCGAACGAUGAACCAGGGCUUGCCCUGGGAAUUAGUGGCGAACGGGUGAGUAACACGUGGGCAACCUGCCCCAGACACCGGGAUAACCAUCCGAAAGGAUGGCUAAUACCGGAUACGACCACUUUGGGCAUCCAACGGUGGUGGAAAAGGAUUCUGGUCUGGGAUGGGCCCGCGGCCUAUCAGCUUGUUGGUGGGGUAAUGGCCUACCAAGGCGACGACGGGUAGCCGGCCUGAGAGGGCGACCGGCCACACUGGGACUGAGACACGGCCCAGACUCCUACGGGAGGCAGCAGUGGGGAAUAUUGCGCAAUGGGCGAAAGCCUGACGCAGCGACGCCGCGUGAGGGACGAAGGUCUUCGGAUUGUAAACCUCUUUCAGCAGGGACGAAGCGAAAGUGACUGUACCUGCAGAAGAAGCACCGGCUAACUACGUGCCAGCAGCCGCGGUAA